CAACACCCAAACCAACGCCACACACGUAUCGGCACCGUCUUCGGGGUGCUGCGCCCUGCCCACUCACAAACCGGGCAGUCGCGGUCGAAGUCGGGGAUGCGUGGAGGUCCCAAC
rnacentral:sRNA from 1 species